GGGACUGGCGCUGGAGCCCAGCGUGGGAUGACCGUGCCCCGAAAACAUGCCAGUGAAUGGAAAGAAGCCAAGGUCCCCUCCCUCCCUGCUUAUACCCUCAACUUUGCCAAUGAGGACCCUAAAUACCAGCUGCACUACAGGGGAUGUAACUACAUACACCGUCACCAAAGUUGCAGCCUGGCCAAGAAAUGCCAGGGGACGUCGCGGCGAUUGCAGACUCCGCGGUGACUGUGUAGAUACGUCCAGAAUUCGCCCUUGUAGCGCGGGGAGAGGCGAGAGUGAAGGCCUAGAAAAGCUGGAGUGCAAUGGCGCCAUCUCAGCUCACUGCAACCUCUGCCUCCCGGGUUCAAGCGAUUCUCCUGCCUCAGCCUCCGGAGUAGCUGGGAUUACAGGUAUGUAUCACCACGCCAGGCUAAUUUUGCAUUUUUAGUAGAGAUGGGGUUUCUCCAUGUUGGUCAGGCUGGUCUCGAACUCCCGACCUCAGGUGAUCUGCCCGCCUUGGCCUCCCAAAGUGCUGGGAUUACAGGUGUGAGCCAUCGUGCCUGGUUGGUUAGGUUUUGUUCUAAGUAAGAAGCAAACCUAAUGGGUCUCCAAUAACAGGUUAGAAAUAUCAGAAUAGACUGGGUUUGGUGGCUCAUGUCUGUAAUCCCAGCAUUUGGGAGGCACAGGCAGGAGGAUCAAGCCCGGCAGUUCAAGACCAGCCUGGGCUACACAGUGAGAUCCCAUCUCUACCAAAAAAAUUAAUUUGCUGGGCGUGGUAGUGCGCGUCUGUAGUCCCAGCUACUCAGGAGGCUGAGACGAGAGGAUCACCUGAGCCCAGGAGAUUGAGGCUGAAAUGAGUCAUGAUUGUGCCACUGCACUCCAGCCUGGCUGCAGAGCAAGACCCUGUCUCAAAAACAAAAACAAAAACAGAAUAGUCUUAUUUUACUCUUUAGGGCUCUAUCAUUAUAAGUAUAACUGGGCAUCAUUUUUAUAUCUAAGCCUCUUUCAUUUUAUUCAUAAUUCACUUGUUUAUUCAGUGAUCUAACAAACAUUUAUGGAGCGCCUGCUUGUGCUGCAUGUUGGGAUACAAUGGUAAAUAAGGUACCGCCCUCAAUCUUGGGGAACUUACACUCUAGUGGGGCAACCAGGUUAGUAAGCGGGCAGUUACGAAGCAGCUGGUUAGCACAAGGAAUAAGCCAAGAGAGCAGCAUUGCAUAUUCCGCUCUGAGCCUCCUUUUCCUGUCUUGGAAGCCAGAAGGGAGGUGUGGAUUCAGUGAUUAAUGAGCAUUUGAGUAGCAUCUACAGAGAACUGUGCUUCGUUCUAGACUCUGAGGUUCCAAGGAUUAAUAAUUCACAGCCCUGUACUAAUGAAAUCCAUACAGGUAAUUAUAGUGCUGUAUAGUAAGUGUGGUUUUGGGAUAGGUGCAGGGUCUUCAGGGCGCAUCCAGGAGGGAUGGGGGGAAAGGGAACCUUCCUGCAUGAGGUGAAGUUCCUGUAGGCUGCAAGUGACCUUAGGGAGGGACCUCGCUGUCCUGUGCUGCUGUCCCCCAGUUCCCACGACACUGCCUUGCACACAUAUGUACUCAAUCAGCAUUCAAACUUGAGUGAAUGAACUGCAGGAUGAUUAGGAGUUAAUCAGGGGUUGAGAGGCUCUACUCUGGGCCAGGCCUUAUACUAUUAUACGUGCUGGGAAUACCAAAAUGAGUAAGACAUGGCCUUUGCCCUGAAAAGGGGAUUAUAGGAGAUUAUAAUAAAGCCUCAUUUUUGGCUAAAUCCAGAUAGUGUAUAAUGUUAUCAGGCAAUGUAUAUUAAUGCACUCACAAACCUGGGCACACUUCUUCAAUAAGUGGUGCUCCACCCUGGGCCAUUUACUGCCUAUGUCAAACAUUUGUUAAACCUACUCUCCUGAGUUUAUACUAUGGAAUUUGGAGGUUAAAGAAGUAGACAACUGAGCAUCCCAAGUUCCAGCCCUGGUAUAAAAGGCAUCAUUCAAAUGGUCUUGUUUUUUUCUUGAAACAGGGUCUUGCUCUGUUGCCUAGGCUGGAGUGCUGUGGUGCGAUGACAGGUACAGCCUAUGAUCCCAUCUUGAUCUCACUCUGUUGCUCAGGCUGGUCUUCAAACUCAUCUCGACCUCUCGAGUAGCUGGGACUACAGGCAUAAGCCACUAUGCCCAGCUAAUUUGUUUUUAUUUUUUUAUAGAGCUGGAAUCUCCCUACAUUGCCCAGGCUGGUCUCCAGCUCCUAGACUCAAGUGAUCCUUCUGCCUUGGCCUCCCAAAGUGCUGGGAGAACAGGCGUGAGGCACUGUGCCCAGCCCAGAUGGUCUUAAACUAUGGUGUGUCAUGAUACUCAACCCUAGAAUGUGGAUAACACAGCUGGUUGCCAGCCGUUAGGUGUAAUUAGUAGCUUUUUCUGAGGAUCCCCCAAAUGCAUUUUCUUUCUCUUUUUCUUUUUUUUUUUUUUUUGAGACACAGUCUCGCCCCAUCGCUAGGCUGGAGUGCAAUGGCGCAAUCUCGGCUCACUGCAACCUCCGCCUCCUGGGUUCAAGCGAUUCUCCUGCCUCAGCCUCCCGAGUAUCUGGGAUUACAGGCGCGCGCCUCUACGCCCAGCUAAUUUUUGUAUUUUUAGUAGAGACGGGGUUUCACCAUGUUGGCCAGGCUGGUCUCGAACUCCUGACCUCGUGAUCCACCCACCUCGGCCUCCCAAAGUGCUGGGAUUACAGGCGUGAGCUACCGCGCCCGGCCCAGAUCCCCCAAAUGCAGUUUCAAAUAUCAACUACCCCUUUAGACAUUCCCCUGCACAUUCCUAGCCUCCAGCCAUGAUGGAAGUGGGGAGUGGCACUUCUCACAGCGACAUCAAAUAUGAUCAGAUCUGGGAGUUGCUGGCUGAUGGUUUGCUCCAGGUGACCAGAAAUUUUAAGAUGGUCUUUAGCAACAAAUGAGUUUGAAUGAGGUCCCUCAGUUUAUUACAGUUGCUCUUAUGUCUCCUCAAACUCUCAAUUCUUGAACUACCAAAGGCAGCUGAAGUUGGUCAAGGGGCCAGUUGAGCAGAAGACACCAGUCAAGGCAGGUGGCACGGAUAUGCGACUUAUGUCUAUUUAGUGUAAUUAAGUGCCACAGUCAGCAAGGCAGGAAACCCUGCAUUUAUGUAACUUUUCCUCAAUAUUAUGAAGAGAGAAAUUGAGGUAGAAGGAAGUACAGGAUCUCACUUUAGGAUGCACAGCAAGUUGGAGGCAGAAAUACUCCAUUCCUUAGUAAUCCACAAGUCAGGGGUGAGUCUUUCCCAGAAAGAGGAAGCCCAUCCCCUUUUCUAAAUUGGACACCUUCACAUGUUCACUAUUCCUUCUCAAGAAAGUUGCUCAGUUUUCCUCCCUAGAGAGCUAUACCCUAAAUAACAAUCAUUCCAGUUUCUCAUUGCCUCAUGUACUCUUGAGAAGCCACAUACCAGACCCAAGCAGAAAUACGGCUUUAAUAUCUCACUCAUGUCCCCCCCGCCCCAUGCCCCCAGCCCUGCCUAGCUGGAGGGUCACAUUCCAUUUUAUAAAUAGCAUCAAAGAGAAGUCACUUUGGGGGUAGAGAGCAGUAGUGGAAGCAGAAGUCGGGGACCUCCAAGCAAUGACUAACGCAGCAGACAGGCUUCUCUUUGUCCAUUGUUAAAAGAUAAUGAAUAGAUCUCCAGCCCCCUCUUACUACCUCUAGAGAAAGAAGAUUGAAGCAGCUGCCAGAGAGAGUUCCUUUCAAAAAGUUCCUGACUCUGUCUUGUGCUGCUGCCUUUUGCACUUUCUUUCCUUCUUUCUUUCUUUCUUUUUUUUUUUUUCUUUAGACAGGGUCUCUCUCUGUCUCCCAGGCUGGAGGGCAGUGGCGCCAGCUUGGCUCACUGAAGCCUCGACCUCCUGAGCUCAAGUGAUCCUCUUGCCUCAGUAUCCUGAGUAGCUGUGAUUAUGGGCAUGUGCCAUCAUGUCCAGCUAAUUUUUUGUAUUUUUGGUAGAGAUGGGGUUUCAUCAUGUUGCCUAGGCUGGUCUCAAACUCCUGAGCUCAAGUGAUCCACCCACUCAACUUCCCAAAGUGCUGGGACUACAGGCACGAGCCACUGCGCCUUGCCUGACUUUUGCACUUUCACCCACAAGUCAUUAAGCCCAGUUACGAAUUUUUAGCAAAUUGCAACUCCUUACAAAUCAGACGCGUUGGCUCUGGUGAGUGUUCUAAGAAAUGUGUCAAUGCCUUGUGCACUAGAGGACCUCAGAUCUAAUGCUGGCUCAGAUAUCAGAUAGCCAUGUGCAACUGUUGGCUUUAUGAUCUAGGCUUUGGUUUCCCUGUUUGGAAGAUGAGUUUGUUGGGCCUAGAUGAGGUCACCAAAUGGAGGUCUCCGGCCGUAUACUGCCUGAAAUCAUGUAUUUUAUCCAUAUGGUGUUACGGCGGUUUUUUUGUUAGUUUGUUUUUUGUUGUUGUUUGAGACAGGGUCUUGCUCUGUAACCCAGGCUGGAGUGCAGUAGCACGAUCUCUGCUCACUGCAACCUCUGCCUCCUGGGCUCAAGUGAUCCUCCCACCUCAGCCUCCUGAGUAGCUGGGACUACAGGCGCAUGCCACUAAAUUGGCUAAUUUUUGUAUUUUUUUGUAGAGAUGAGGUUUUCCCAUGUCACUCAGGCUGGUCUCAAACUCCUGAACUCAAACAAUCUGCCCACUUCAGCCUCCCGAAGUGCUAGGAUUACAGGUGUGAGCCACUGCACCUGGCCAUUUUUUGUUUGUUUUUGUUUUUAUAAAAUUUAAACUAGUGUUCGUCAUUUAAAAAAGGACUCAACAAUAGUAAAACAAUCUAAUUUAAAAAAUGGCCAACAAGCACAUCAAAAUAUGCUUGACAUCACUAAUCAUUAGAGAAAUACAAAUCAAAACCACAGUGAGAUACUACUGCCUCAUACCCACUAGGAUGGGUAUUAUCAAAAGAACAAAAAACAACAAAUGCUGGUGAGGAUGUGGAAAAAUUGGAAUGCUGUGUACUGUUAGUAUUAAUGUGAAAUGGUGCAGCUGCUAUGGAAAACAGUAUGGUGGUUCCUAAAAAAAAGUAAAAAUAGAAUCACCACAUGAUCCAACAAUUCCACUUCUGGAUAUACGCCCAAAAGAAUUGAAAGCAGGAACUCAAAAGAUAUAUUAUUUGUAUACUUCGCCAGGCAUGGUGGCUCACUUCUGCAAUCCUAGCACUUUGGGAGGCUGAGGUGAGUGGAUCACCUGAGGUUGGGAGUUUGAGACCAGCCUGACCAACAUGGAGAAACCCCGUCUCUACUAAAAAUACAAAAUUAGCUAGGUGUGGUGGCGCAUGCCUAUAAUCCCAGCUACUUGGGAGACUGAGGCAGGAGAAUCGCUUGAACCUGGGAGGCGGAGGUUGCUGUGAGCCAAGAUCGUGCCAUUGCACUCCAUCUUGGGCAAUAAGAGUGAAACUCUGUCUCAAAAUAAAAAAAAAAGAUACAUUAUUUGUAUACUCAUGCUGGUAGCAGCAUCAUUCACAUAGCCAAAGGUAGAAGCAACCAAGAGUCUAUUGAUGGAUGAAUGGAAAAAAAUGUGGACUAUAUAUACAAUAAAAUAUUAUUCAGCCUUAAAAAGAUGGAGGCUGGGCAUGGUGGCUCAUGCCUGUAACUCCAGCACUUUGGGAGGCUGAGGCAGGUGGAUCAAUUGAGGUCAGGAGUUGGAGACCAACCUAGGCAACAUGGCAAAACACCGUCUCUACCAAAAAUAUGAAAAUUAGCCAGGAGUGAUGGAGCAUACCUAUGGUCCCAGCUACUUGGGAGGCUGAGGUGGGAGGAUUGUCAAAACCCCAGAAGUCGAGGCUGCAGUGAGUUGAGAUUGUGCCAGCGCACUCCAGCCUGGGUGACAGAGUGAGACCCUGUCUCAAAAAAAAAAAAAAAAAAGGAAAUUCAGACACAUGCUACAACAUGAAUGAGUCUUGAGGACAUUACAUAGAGUGAAAUAAGCCAGUCAUAAAAAGACAAAUUCUGUAUGAUUCCACUUCCUUUCUUCUGGAGUGCUGUGAUAAGAUUAUGGCUCACUGCAGCAGCUUUGAUGUCCUUUGAUAUCCUGGCCUCAAGUCAUCCUCCUGCCUUAGCCUCCAAAGCAGUUAGGACUAUAGGCACAUGACACCACACCCAAUUUUAAUUUAUUAUUAAUAUAUUUUUUUGUAGAGAUGCGGUCUGCUGUGUUGCCCAAGCUGGUCUCAAACCCCUCGGCUCAAGUGGUCCUCCCACCCCGGCCUCUCAAACUGCUAGGAUUACAGGCAUGAGCCAUUGUGCCUGACCUGAUUUAUUUUUUAUGAGGUACCUAGAAUAGUUAAAAUCAGAAACAGAAAAUGGAAUGGUGGAUGCCAGGGAUGGCGGGGAAGAGGGGGAAUUAUUGUUGCACAGCAAUGUGAGUGUAUUUAACACUUCUCAGCUGGACACAUAAAAAUCCUUAGAUGGUAAGUUUUUAUGUUAUGUAUAUUUUACCACAAUUAAAAUAAAGAGUGGUAACUCAUGAAAACCUGAAUAGUCGACUUAAAAAAUAUAUUAAAACAAAUCUGGCAUAUUGGGCCACAUGUACCAGUUGGCAACAGCCCACUUGAGCUGAGUAUCUGCCCUCUCUAAAUGGCUCUAUUCUUUGCUCUUCUCCCCAGCCCCCACCUGCCAGUCUUCUUUCUAUCAAAUAACCUGUGCAGCUACUAUAGGCCUUUGAGUUUGCAGUCCCUGGAUUCGACUCUCUAUGGUUCCUUCUAGCAUUCAUAGCUAUGAUUCUGUGACUUCCUGGAACUUUAGUGACUGUGACACUAUAAAUAAAUAAGUGAGGUGAAGACAUAGAUGUUCUUGAAGGAUGUCUAGUUCUCAGUAGGCAGAGACUGGGGGAAGGUUUAUUCCAGGCUUGCAGUGGCUCAAGCCUGUAAUCCCAGCACUUUGGGAGGCUGAGGUGGGCGGAUCCCUUGAGGCCAGGAGUUGGAGACUAGCCUGGCCAACAUGGCGAAACCCCAUCUCUACUAAAAACACAAAAAUUAGCCAGACAUGGUGGUGUGCACCUGUGGUCCCAGCUAUUUGGGAGGCUGAGGCAGGAGAAUCGCUUGAACCUGGGAGGCGGAGGUUGCAGUGAGCCGAAAUAGUGCCAUUGCACUCCAGCCUGGGAGACAGAGCGAGACUCCCAUCUCAAAAAAAAAAAAAAAAAAGAUUUAUUCCAGGCUCAAGGAAGAACACAGCCAGGCAACAAGGCAGCAAGAUUCAUGGAGACACAGACAUUUUCUGGUUCUGCUAUGUCUUGCAGUAACCCUGAAUAUUGUGCUAGUAUGUAAGAAUAAAGAGGGUCAUUCCUCGGACAGCCACUCAGUAUUUCUGCCACCCUCACAAUGCCUGGGGACCUUCCUAAGAAAGGGCUACCACAGACUUAGGGAGAUUCACUCUGAAAAAAUUUUGUAUUUUGUAAAGGUUGUUUGGGAUUGGGGUGGAACUGUGUGCAGGAUGUCAGAAUGGAAACUUCUGCACAUUACUUGCAUCAACUCAUGAGCUGUACUUUAUAUACCUGAAGUUAGGUCUUUGGACUGUAUUGAUCAAAUUUAUGGGCUGAGUAUGGUGGCUCAUGCCUGUAAUCCCAGCAAUUUGGGAGGCCAAGGCAGGUGGAUCACUUGAGCCCAGGAGUUGAAAACCAGUCUGGGCAACAAGGUGAAACCCUAUCUCUCCAAAAAAUACAAAAAUUAGUCAGGUGUGGUGGCUCACACUGUAGUCCCAGCUACUCGGGAGGCUGAGAUGGUAGAAUCGCUUGAGCAGAGGAGGUCGAGGUUGCAAUGAGCUGUGAUGGCACCACUGUACUCCAGCCUGGGCGUGCUAGGCUCCGUUUAAAAAAAAAAAUUACAAGAACUACUUUAUGAAUUCAUGAAAAAUCAUAUGCAAAUAGAUAUCUUACAAUUUGCUAAAAUAUCUGGUGAUCUUAACCUGGAGGGACUGUUUUAAAAGGCUAGGACUCAGGCCGGGCACGGUGGUUCAUGCCUGUAAUCCCAGCACUUUGGGAGGCCCAGGCAGGCGGCUCACCUGAGGUCAGGAGUUCGAGAUGAGCUUGGCCAACAUGGUAAAACCCUGUCUCUACUAAAAAUACAAAAAUUAGCCAGGUGUGGUGGCAGGCGCCUGUAAUCCCAGCUACUUGGGAAGUUGAGGAGGAGAAUUGCUUGAACCUGGGAGGCAGAGGUUGCAGUGAGCCGAGAUUGUGCCCUUGCACUCCAGCCUGGGCAGGAAGAGCGAAACUCCAUCUUGAAAAUAAAUGAAUUAAUUAAUUAAAUAAGCUGGGAUAUGAACACAGGCUUGCUGCUAGCUUCUAUGCUAUCUAUUGCGUCUGAAAAUAAAUUAGAAACAAAAACAAACCUAGAAAAUGAUAAUCCUUGACAAUGAUACUAGAGUUAAGAAGUGAGUUGUUUUGGAUCUGUACAUUCUUCCAGUGUUUAUUGAGCACCUAUUAUAGUGUACCAGGUGCUGGGGAAACAGGUGCACAAGGCAGAUGAAGCACCUGCCCUCAGCAUGCUCAUGUCCUAGUAGAUCCACUUCUUUGAUUCUAAAGAUACUGAUCUUCUAUUUCAGUGUGUCUCAAACUGUAUUAAAGGGUCAGUCUUAAAAAUUCAAUUAGUCUAAAAAUCAAUGGCUAGAAAGAUGAAAUUUAAAAACUCCCAAAGACAUACAAAAUAGAAACUUCACUUUUCCCUUUCUUUUUCUUUCUUUUUCUUUCUUUCUUUCUUUUUCUUUUUCUUUCUCUCUCCCUUCCUUCCUUUCUUUCUUUCUUUCUCUCUCUCUCUCUCUCUCUCUCUCUCUCUCUCUCUCUCUUUCUUUCUUUCUUUCUUUCUUUCUUUCUUUCUUUCUUUCUUUCUUUCUUUCUUUCUGUCUUUCUUUUUCUACAGGAUAUUGCUCUGUCACCCAGGCUGGAGUGCAAUGGCGUGAUCUCAGCUCAUUGCAACCUCUGCCUCCCAGGCUCAAGCCAUUCUCUCACUUCAGCCUCCUGAGUAGCUGGGACUACAGGUACAUGCCAUCAUACCUGGUUCAUUUUUUGUAUUUUUGGUAGAGACUAUGUUAUCCAGGCUGGUCUCGAAAUCCUGAGCUCAAGAGAUCCUCCCGUCUCAGCCUCCCAAAGUGCUGGAAUUAUAAGCGUGAGCCACCAUGCCUGGCCUAAACCUCAUUUUUCAAGUAUUAUAUUCAAAUAGACAUAAAAUUACUUUGUCAAUUUUCUAUAACUUUCUAAGGCUUACUCUCAAUUUUUGUAUUUAUCUCAUUAUGAUCCUAACAGUUCAACUGGCAACAGCCUGAGACCCAUACUUUGGGUAGCUUCCAUUUGCUCUUUCUGCCAACUAUUUGGACAGUUAGUGCCCAUCAUACCAUAUGAUCUGAAAGAUAAAGAUGAAUUGGUUCAGCCGUAUGAUAGACCUUUUUCUGUAAAGAACCAGCUAGUAAAUAUUUUAGGCUCUGUGGCUCAAAUGAUUUCUGUCACAACUACUUAACUCUGUCACUGCAGUGAGAAAGCAGUAAUAGAUGGUACCUAGAUGAGUAGGUGUGGCUGAGUGUGGUGAUGUUCCAAUAUAACCUUAUUUAUAGUUAGUGAAUUUGAAUUUUACAUAAUUUUCAUGAAUUACAAAAAUAUUAUGCCUCUUUUGAGUUUUUCAACCAUCUAUCAAUAUUUUAAAAAUUCUUUUUUUUUUUUUUUGUGACGGUCUUGCUCUGUCACCCAGGCUGGAGUGCAGUGACGCAAUCUUGGCUCACUGCAACCUCCGACCCCCAGGUUCAAGCAAUUUUCCUGCCUCAGCCCCCUGAGUAGCUGGGAUUACAGGUGUGUGCCACCAUGCCCAGCUAAUUUUUGUAUUUUUAGUAGAGACGGGGUUUUGCCAUGUUGGCCAGGCUGGUCUUGAACUCCUGGCCUCAAGCGAUCCACCUGCCUUGGCCUCCCAAGCUGCUGGGAUUACAGGCGUAAGCCACCAUGUCCGGCCAUUUUCACUAUAUCUUUUCUAUGUUUAGAUAUGUUUAGAUACACAAAUACUUACCAUUGUGUUACAAUAGCCUAGGUAUGCAGUAGACUAUUCCUUCUAGGUUUGUAUAAAUGCACCUAUGAGGUUCACACAACAACAAAAACCACCCGGCGACACAUUUCUCUGAAGGUAUCCCUGUUGUUAAGUAACACAUGACUGAAUGUGCAAUGCCCAGAAUAGGUGAGUCCAUAGAGAGUAGAUUGGUAGUUGCCAGAGGCCAGGAGACAUGGAAGGAGAAAUGGGAAGUAUGUUUUAAGAAUGAUGAAAAUGUUCUGGAAUUUGGCCAGGUGCAGUGGCUCACGCCUGUAAUCCCAGCACUUUGGGAGUCCAAGGAGGGUGGAUCACUUGAGGUCAGGAGUUCAAGACCAGCCUGGCCAAUAUGGUGAAACCCCAUCUCUACUAAAAAUACAAAAAUUAGCCAGGAGUGCUGGUGCGUGCCUGUAAUCCCAGCUACUCCGGAGGCUGAGGCAGGAGAAUCGCUUGAACCCAGCGGGUGAAGGUUGCAGUGAGCCGAGAUCACGCCAUUGCAUUCCAACCUGGGCAACAGAGCAAGACUCUGUCUCAAAAAAAAAUAAAAAAAGAAAAAAGAAAAUAUCCUGGAAAUUGAUAGUGGUGAUGGGUGCAUAAACCUUUGUAUAUACUUAAAACCAGUUAGCUGUACACUUUAAAAGGAUAAACUUUAUGGU
rnacentral:lncRNA from 1 species